ACACUGGUGAAGAGUCCCAUACUAGGACGAAACGGCCGUCCAGUGC
rfam:Schistosoma margrebowiei strain Zambia genome assembly, scaffold: SMRZ_scaffold0000493